AUCUACAGCUAUACCACCCUGAACACACCUGACUGCAUCUGAUCUUGGAAGCUAAGCAGGAUUAGGCCUGGUUAGUACUUAAGAUAGGAGAGAGAGGGAAGAUC
rnacentral:rRNA from 1 species